UUAUUAACCCCCUUGUAACAGAAUUAAGAGCUACUCAAAGGAGGUACAGCUCCUUUGACAGAGAGUACAACCUCCCCUAGCGGAUAACCACCACCUUUUUUCCCUGUGGGCCUUAAAGCAGCCACCAACAAAGAGUGCGUCAAAGCUCAUAACCCUAAAAAUCCAGAAAUACAUGCGACUCCCUUACCCACAGCAGACCAACCUAUAACAAUAGAAGAAUUAAUGCUAAAAUGAGUAACCUGAGACCCUCCCUCCAAAAGCGUAAACUUACAUUAAUACAUUAUUAACAGANCACCUAUACCCCCACCUUGACAAGAACUCGUUAUAUCCCUUCCCUGUUNAGNNNACUCAGGAGCGCCCAAUGGAUGAUUAAACCUGNUAAAAGGAAUCGGCAAACCCU
rnacentral:rRNA from 1 species